UGUCCCUGAACUUGAACUCUGUUGGGGGUCCUCCAGCCUGGCCGGCAGGGCAGGCCCCCCACCUCCUCCAGGCCUUGGAUGAAGGUACCUUUUCUUACUGUCCCCUGACUGUCCCUGAGCCCACCUUGCUCGGCUGCCCCCCCGAGUCCCCCACCCAGUGGCUGGUUUCUAUUCCAUGAAUUAACCAAGUUCAUGGCUGAUGGGGGCUUCACUGCUUCCUCUUCCUGGUAACAUGUAGGCUUGUUUACUGGGGCGGUAAUGCCACAGCUCUAUGGGGGAGUCAGUUUUGGAAACUGGGACCACGCUGCCCCGGAGGCGAGGGUUGGGGGCCCUGUCCAGGGAACAGAGCCCCCUGGCUUCCAGGCAAGGCCCUGGGUGGCCGAGCUUCAGGGAGGGGAGGAUGCACAUUCUUCUGGUCCUGCCCCUGCUCAGACACUAUUUGACAAUGACUGUCGAAGGGGAAAAGCUGUGCAGCGUUGCUGCUGAGGUGCCCAGGAGUGACGGGCACUUUCAGGACGAGGCCUCCGCACCCACUGCCUUCAUCCAGGCUUCUUCGGCUUCAAUAGCUGCAAAGAAUGAAUUGUGUAUAAGCCAAGGCUGACAAGAGCUGCAGUGUCCAAGGGGAAAUUCAGAUUUUUCCUGAUCAAAGAGCAAACAUUUAAAAGCAGUCCUGAUGUAGGACAGCAGCUCCCAGCAACGUCUUUAAGUUGCAUCUUCAGAAGCUGACUCAGUGCAGCUUGCCUUGUUCUUGGAAGCCUGCACAGAGUUCUGCAUGAGCUCUGCGCGCCCCCAUCGCUCCUGACCUUGGCAGGAACACGCAGGUGUGGCCCUGCAGAGGACACGCCAGGCUGGUGCUUCAUGAGUGCUGACCCCACAGGGAACUGUGUGCUCUCGGGAGAGACAUGGGAUUUACAUCAGAGUGCAAAUAUAUGUAAGUAGUUAAACAAAUGGCGUCACACUCUGUCACCUGAACAAAGACCAGUGGUGAGACUGUGGAUGGGUACACGCUGCCACACCGUUUGUGAAGCGAGUUUCUCACAGCGACCCGUCCACGUGAUGCUGUCACUACCUGAGUGUGAUGGAUGAGGAGACCAAGGCUGAGAGAGACAAGGAACUUGCACAACAUCACACGGCAGGUUCCCUCUGGAUAUAUGCCCAGGAGUGGGACUGCUGGAUCACAGGAUAAGUCUAUUUUUAAUUUUCCAUACUGUUUUCCAUAGUCUCUGCACCAAACUACAUUCCCACCAACAUCGUAGGUGGGUUUCCUGUUCUCCAUACCCUCCCCGUCAUUUAUCCUUUGGACUUUUGAAUGAUGGCCAUUCUGGUUGGUGUGAAGUGAUACCUUGUAUAUUGAUCUGCAUUUCUCUGCUAAUUAGUGAUAUUGAGCAUCUUUUCAUGUGCCUAUUGGCCAUUCCUAUGUCUUCAUUGGAGAAUUGCUUGUUUAUGUCUUCUGCCCAUUUUUGGAUUGGGUUGUUUGUUUUUUUCUUAUUAAGUUUUAUGAGUUGUUUACAUAUUCUGGAAAUUAAGCCCUUGUCAGUCUCAUCUUUUGCAAAUAUUUCCUCCCAUUCCGUAAGUUGUCUUUUUGUUUUGCUUAUGGUUUCCUUUGUUGUGCAAAAGCUUAUGAGUUUAAUUAGGCCCCAUGUGUUUAUUUUUGCUUUUAUUUCUAUUGCCUGGGUAGACUGCCCCAGGAGAACCUUGCUAAGAUUUCUGUCAGAAAAUGUUUUGCCUAUGUUUUCUUCUAGGAGGUUUAUCAUGUCUUGUCUUAUGUUUAAGUCUUUAAGCCAAGGGCCUCCAUUUUGCAAAGUUCAAUAACCACUUGUUCAGUGAAGGACUAGGAGAGGCCAGGGCCUUCUCAGAGGUUCCGGGAGAAGGGCGGGAGCUUGAAUCAAAGGUGGGUCUUCUUGGCAAAACAGGCCCAAGUAUCCAGCCCAGAAAGCUCUUCUCUCCUCUUGGAGAGGUGAACGAAUGGGUUAAACACGAGCUCUUCCUGUGUGUGUGUUGAGGGGGACGGGGCGGGUACAAAUACGCAUGCGUGUCUGCGCACAAGCCCACCUGUGCGUGUGUGUGUUUGGUCCUUUCACUCUGAGUCCUUUAUGAGACGCCAAUACUCUUAUUAUUCUUACUCAGAGAGUCAGGUGCUUGUAAAUAAAAGCCUUGACUUUGGGGUCUUCCGUAUUUCCGGUGAGGGUUUCAAGACCCUAGGUUACUCAUCAAAGCCAAGGAUACUCGCCUCUCCUGAGACAACAGAAUGUGGCCUCUUUAAUGGUGAGAUAGUCACAGGGUGGAGAGGAAGUGCCGAGAAUAGUGAUGUUUCAAGAUAUUCUGCCUCAUCAGGAUCAACAGAUGUAAUGAUUCAUGUGUCUCAGCGCGUGUUCAGAGAAAAGGAAAAAGCUGAAAGAGGCAGAAUCGAGCAGCGCUUGCACGACUUGAUCUCCUCUCUUCCCUGUGAAACGACACGUGUGAUUUUUGUUUAAGCCACUCUUCCUCACGGCGCUGGUGACUUCCUGAUCUGAGCAGAAGGAAAAAGUGUCCUCUUCGGAGUGAUUCUGAUUUUGAUUACGUCUUUGAGUGUCCUGGAUGAUACUGUAAUAAGCAGAGGAACGGAUCAGAAUGUAAACAAAUGAUUCACCCCCUCCUGGAGAACGGCAGUUGGCCCAGCCCCCACGACCACUGUGGGUGCAGAUCGUUUUCCACCGUCAGGGAGGGGAAAGCACUCUGUACCUUCAUACAAAAUAAAAAGCAGACAGUCAUGCUGUCUGGUUUCAGUCUCUAAAGAACAAAAUCUUGAGCAUUUCCUGUAAGCCUGGACUCCCAGCAGGAACCCCCUCAUCCCGGGCUUUUGAGUUAAUGUCUGAGAUAUGAGGAGCUGGUCUUUUCCCAUCAUAAAGAGAGAGAUGUCAACAUGGUGAUCCUGGGGGUUUUUGUCACGUUAGCUAUGUAUUGGAUCUUUCCUUGGAUGAGCUAGUCUUAUUGAA